GACGAACGCUGGCGGCGUGCUUAACACAUGCAAGUCGAACGGAAAGGCCCUGCUUUUGUGGGGUGCUCGAGUGGCGAACGGGUGAGUAACACGUGAGUAACCUGCCCUUGACUUUGGGAUAACUUCAGGAAACUGGGGCUAAUACCGGAUAGGAGCUCCUGCUGCAUGGUGGGGGUUGUAAAGUUUCGGCGGUUGGGGAUGGACUCGCGGCUUAUCAGCUUGUUGGUGGGGUAGUGGCUUACCAAGGCUUUGACGGGUAGCCGGCCUGAGAGGGUGACCGGCCACAUUGGGACUGAGAUACGGCCCAGACUCCUACGGGAGGCAGCAGUGGGGAAUAUUGCACAAUGGGCGGAAGCCUGAUGCAGCAACGCCGCGUGCGGGAUGACGGCCUUCGGGUUGUAAACCGCUUUCGCCUGUGACGAAGAGUGAGUGACGGUAAUGGGUAAAGAAGCACCGGCUAACUACGUG
rnacentral:rRNA from 1 species